rnacentral:rRNA from 1 species
GCCAGACUCCUACGGGAGGCAGCAGUGAGGAAUAUUGGUCAAUGGGCGCGAGCCUGAACCAGCCAAGUCGCGUGAGGGAGGACGGCCCUACGGGUUGUAAACCUCUUUUGCCGGGGAGCAACGGGCGUCACGUGUGGCGCCACUGAGAGUACCCGUAGAACAAGCAUCGGCCAACUCCGUGCCAGCAGCCGCGGUAAUACGGAGGAUGCGAGCGUUAUCCGGAUUUAUUGGGUUUAAAGGGUGCGCAGGCGGCACGGCAAGCCGGCGGUCAAAUCGCGGGGCUCAACCCCGCCCAGCCGUCGGAACUGCCGGGCUAGAGUGGGCGAGAAGUGCGCGGAAUGCGUGGUGUAGCGGUGAAAUGCUUAGAUAUAACUUAGAACUCCGAUAGCGAAGGCAGCUUACCAGACUGCGACUGACGCUGAAGCACGAGAGCGUGGGUAGCGAACAGGAUUAGAUACCCCCGUAC